rnacentral:lncRNA from 1 species
GGGCAAGGAAGAGGAUACAAAGGGAUGAGCAAGGAAAUAGAUGGAGAGGAAGGAGAGAAAUGGAGAGGAAGGAGAGAGAUGGUGAGGAAGAAGAGAGAGGGUGAGUAAGGAGAGAGAAAGGGUGAGUAAGGUCCUCUUGUUGUCUCUUUUUGUCCUUCGUUUUCCGUUGAUCAUUUCGUGUAGUUCUCUUCGAUUCUCCAAAGUUUAUUUCUUAAAACAUCAACAUUUUUAUGACUUUACAAAAAGUUGUCUGGAAAAUAUAGUUUUGUUUUAGGAAAGUGAUUAUCUAAAGCUGUCCAGCUUUGCUUUACGAAAUAUGGUCUGAAAACUUUAUCAAAGUUAGUUUGGCAGAAGUUUGUUUCGUAGAUACUGUUA